rnacentral:piRNA from 1 species
GUUUUCUUGUGUGGAAAAUGAACUUUUGC